rnacentral:piRNA from 1 species
UGGGAAUGUUACUCGCAGUCAAAUGUCACC